GAAGUAGGAGCUAAUGUGACAGACGCUGAUAAUCCCCUUUAGUGAGUGAAAAUAUUUAACAUUCUUUGACGUAAUGGAUGCUUCAUGUUCGCUUUUGUGAACAAAUUGUUCGAAUAGCACGAACAAGGAACUCGAUCUCGAUCGCGGACAUUUACGUAAUUCUUCCAUUAGCAGCACGUUUCCUUAAAAAAGAGUGAGAAGAGGAUUGAGGUAAAGCUUUCAAACUACGGGAAUCGAAAAAGAUUUAACUGUACAUACGAAAGAGGUAGCCAUA
rnacentral:misc_RNA from 1 species